GGACUACACGGGUAUCUAAUCCCGUUUGCUCCCCUGGCUUUCGCGCAUCAGCGUCAGUGAAGGUCCAGCGUGCCGCUUUCGCCACCGGAGUUCCUGAUGAUAUCAACACAUUUCACCGCUCCACCAUCAGUUCCGCACGCCCCUACCUUACUCGAGACUAUCAGUAUCAGGGGCAGUUCCCCAGUUGAGCUGGGGGAUUUCACCCCUGACUUGAUAGUCCGCCUACGCGCCCUUUAAGCCCAGUGAUUCCGAACAACGUUUGCACGGUUCGUCUUACCGCGGCUGCUGGCAC
rnacentral:rRNA from 1 species